GCUCCAGUAGAGUAGUAGUUAACUCAUUUCCCUCCCAUUCCCAAGGGCAAGGAAGGAAAGGACCCGGGUGCAAAUCCCGGCUGGUGCA